GACGAACGCUGGCGGCGUGCCUAAUACAUGCAAGUAGAACGCUGAAGUAAGAGCUUGCUCUUACGGAUGAGUUGCGAACGGGUGAGUAACACGUGGGGAACCUACCUUCUAGCGGGGGAUAACACAUAGAAAUGUGUGCUAACACCGCAUAAUAGUAUUUGAUGCAUAUCAGAUAUUUGAAAGGCGCAAUUGCGUCACUAGAAGAUGGCCCCGCGGUGCAUUAGCUAGUUGGUGAGGUAACGGCUCACCAAGACAAUGAUGCAUAGCCGACCUGAGAGGGUGAUCGGCCACACUGGGACUGAGACACGGCCCAGACUCCUACGGGAGGCAGCAGUAGGGAAUCUUCGGCAAUGGACGCAAGUCUGACCGAGCAACGCCGCGUGAGUGAAAGAAAGGUUUUUCGGAUCGUAAAAACUCUGUUGUAAAGAGAAAGAAACGUU
rnacentral:rRNA from 1 species